GACGUAGGGCGCGAGCGUUAAUCGGAAUUACUGGGCGUAAAGCGUGCGCAGGCGGUUUUGUAAGUCUGACGUGAAAUCCCCGGGCUCAACCUGGGAAUUGCGUUGGAGACUGCAAGGCUGGAGUCUGGCAGAGGGGGGUAGAAUUCCACGUGUAGCAGUGAAAUGCGUAGAGAUGUGGAGGAACACCGAUGGCGAAGGCAGCCCCCUGGGUCAAGAUUGACGCUCAUGCACGAAAGCGUGGGGAGCAAACAGG
rnacentral:rRNA from 1 species